rnacentral:tRNA from 1 species
GCCAUCCUAGCUCAGUCGGUAGAGCAGCUGAUUCGUAAUCAGCAGGUCGAGGGUUCGAGUCCCUUGGAUGGCUCCA